AUUGAACGCUGGCGGCAGGCUUAACACAUGCAAGUCGAGCGGAGAUGAGGUGCUUGCACCUUAUCUUAGCGGUGGACGGGUGAGUAAUGCUUAGGAAUCUGCCUAUUAGUGGGGGACAACAUUCCGAAAGGAAUGCUAAUACCGCAUACGCCCUACGAGGGAAAGCAGGGGAUCUUCGGACCUUGCGCUAAUAGAUGAGCCUAAGUCGGAUUAGCUAGUUGGUGGGGUAAAGGCCUACCAAGGCGACGAUCUGUAGCGGGUCUGAGAGGAUGAUCCGCCACACUGGGACUGAGACACGGCCCAGACUCCUACGGGAGGCAGCAGUGGGGAAUAUUGGACAAUGGGCGGAAGCCUGAUCCAGCCAUGCCGCGUGUGUGAAGAAGGCCUUUUGGUUGUAAAGCACUUUAAGCGAGGAGGAGGCUACCUGGAUUAAUACUCUAGGAUAGUGGACGUUACUCGCAGAAUAGGCACCGGCUAACUCUGUGCCAGCAGCCGCAGUAAUAC
rnacentral:rRNA from 1 species